CAGAGUCUCGUACUCCUAAACCACUGUUUACCUACCUAUCGUUGCUUCGGCAGGGGGCUCCAGGGGGAGCCGCCUGGGUGCCUGCCGGAGGUAUACAUAAACUCUUGCCAUAUUAAUGAAGCUCUGAGUAUCUAUUAAAUAAGUCA
rnacentral:misc_RNA from 1 species